rnacentral:lncRNA from 1 species
AGAAUUACUGAAGAAAGAAACAGUGGUUAAUAAGCAGACCAAAACAGGAAGACAGAGAUCUACAAACAUCAAGUUUCGUGCAUUUUGCUACUAAUAUCCACGCUCGUUUCACUUUCCCAAACUCAAUCCCCACUUCAUCGAUUUAACUGUAAUACUAGUACUAUUUCUCUCUCUCUCUUUCUCAAAAGAUAAAAAUGUCGAUCAACGGUGGGGAUCCAACAACUCCUCAUCCGCCGCCGAUGAUCAGAAAGACCGGACCUUACACAGUCUUCGUUACUCCUCCCCAAACCCCUAAACCCUCUUCCUCCCAUUCACAUCACCAACAAUCACCUCUCUCCGAUUCUCCGGUAAUUCAGCCGCCACCAGCUCAAUCUCCUCCACCCGUUCUUCCGCCACCGGUGCACUACAAUCCUAAGUCCGAAGCCUCAUCCUUUGCUUUCUUCUGGAAUGCCGUUGCCAAAGUCCAAAACGGUAUCCCCUUCCUCUCAUCUUGUAAAAUCUCUGGUUAAUUUUGGACUUUGUUAGACCAAAGUGGCAUCUGUUAGUCAAAAUAUUCCUCACCCACCCACUCAAAAAAGUAUUCCUCACC